rnacentral:rRNA from 1 species
GCGCCAGCAGCCGCGGUAAUACGUAGGUGGCAAGCGUUGUCCGGAUUUAUUGGGCGUAAAGCGAGCGCAGGCGGUUUCUUAAGUCUGAUGUGAAAGCCCACGGCUCAACCGUGGAGGGUCAUUGGAAACUGGGAGACUUGAGUGCAGAAGAGGAAAGAGGAAUUCCACGUGUAGCGGUGAAAUGCGUAGAGAUAUGGAGGAACACCAGUGGCGAAGGCGACUUUCUGGUCUGUAACUGACACUGAGGCGCGAAAGCGUGGGGAGCAAACAGGAUUAGAAACCCGAGUAGUCC